rnacentral:rRNA from 1 species
UACAGAGGGGGCAAGCGUUAUUCGGAAUUAUUGGGCGUAAAGGGCGCGUAGGCGGCUUUGCAAGUGACGGGUGAAAUCCCUCGGCUUAACCGAGGAACUGCCUGUCAGACUGCAUCGCUAGAACGUCGGAGAGGUAAGUGGAAUUCCGAGUGUAGAGGUGAAAUUCGUAGAUAUUCGGAAGAACACCAGUGGCGAAGGCGACUUACUGGACGACUGUUGACGCUGAGGUGCGAAAGCGUGGGGAGCAAACAGG